rnacentral:ncRNA from 2 species
GCCGCUGAGGAGCGUUGCGACCGGGGCGGCCCGGCCAGGCUCAGCGAAAACACAACGGCGCUCGCAUCGG